UUUCGCAAUGCCCGAAAGGGUGACGAAGCGACGCCGCGUGUGGGAAGAAGGCCUUCGGGUUGUAAACCACUGUCGGGAGUUAGGAAAUGUAAGGGUGCUAAUAGUAUCCUUACUUGACUAAGGCUCCGGAGGAAGCCACGACUAACUCUGUGCCAGCAGCCGCGGUAAUACAGAGGCGGCAAGCGUUGUUCGGAAUUAUUGGGCGUAAAGAGCACGUAGGCGGCCUUGUAAGUCAGUUGUGAAAGCCUUCUGCUUAACGGAAGAACAGCAGCUGAUACUGCAAGGCUAGAGUGCGGAAGGGGAGAGUGGAACUUCUGGUGGAGCGGUGAAAUGCGUAGAUAUCAGAAGGAACACCGGCGGCGAAGGCGACUCUCUGGUUCGUAACUGACGCUGAGUGUGCGAAAGCUAGGGGAGCAAACGGGAUUAGAUACCCCGGUAGUCCUAGCCGUAAACGAUGGGCACUAAGUAGAGGGGUUUUA
rnacentral:rRNA from 1 species